UACGUAGGGGGCAAGCGUUGUCCGGAAUCAUUGGGCGUAAAGCGCGCGUAGGCGGCCCGGUAAGUCCGCUGUAAAAGUCCAGGGCUCAACCCUGGAAAGCCGGUGGAUACUGUCGGGCUAGAGUCCGGAAGAGGCGAGUGGAAUUCCUGGUGUAGCGGUGGAAUGCGCAGAUAUCGGGAAGAACACCAGUGGCGAAGGCGGCUCACUGGAUCGGUACUGACGCUGAGGUGCGAAAGCUAGGGGAGCAAACGGGG
rnacentral:rRNA from 1 species